AUGCGUUUGAUUGCUAACUUUUAUUCUUUUUCUUUGUCUUGUUUCAUGAACACGAGAAUUGGAUGGCAAGCGAUGUUAAACGAUAAAAAUACCAUGGCGAGGAGCAAGGACGAAUGGCCUGAAGAUGAAGACUUGAAGAAACACACAUUAUUUCUCUCUUUUUUUUUGUAA